AUGAAAGAUCUGGGAGAAGCCGAUGUAAUACUAAACAUCAAACUUAUUAAGGAUGAGAGUGGGAUUACAUUAACGCAAUCUCACUAUGUUGAGAAGGUCUUGAACCGAUUCGGUUUUAUGGAUAGCAAGCCAUCUCCAACACCUUAUGAUCCCAGCGUGACACUCAGAAUGAACAAGAAAGAAACGAGAGAUCAAUUAAGAUACUCUCAAAUUGUCGGUUCACUCAUGUACUUAGCUAGCACUACAAGACCAGAUAUCUCUUUUGCUGUGAGCAAACUGAGUAGGUUCAUGUCCAACCCGGGUGAUGAUCGUUGGCAUGCACUAGAAAGGGUCUUGCGCUAUUUGAGAGGUACUAUGAGUUACGGAAUUACUUAUUCAGGGCAUCCUGCUGUGCUAGAAGGAUAUAGUGAUUCAAAUUGGAUCUCCGAUGUUGAUGUACUCUAUGCAACAAGUGGGUAUGUAUUUACUCAUGGAGGUGGCGCAGUGUCAUGGAGGUCUUGCAAGCAAACCAUAUUGACGAGGUCAACUAUGGAAGCAGAACUAACUGCUUUGGACAUAGCUACUGUUGAGCCAGAAUGGCUGCGUGAGUUCUUGAUGGACUUGCCGGUUGUUGAAAAACCUGUACCGGCUAUUCUUAUGAAUUGUGAUAACCAAACAGUUAUCGCUAAAGUGAACAAUUCUAAAGAUAAUGCAAAGUCAUCAAGACACGUGAAGAGACGUUUGAACUCUGUCAGGAAGUUGAGAAACUCCGGAGUAAUAACUGUUACGUAUAUACAAACAGACAAAAACCUGGCAGAUCCCUUUACAAAGGGACUGUCACGAAAUGUGAUAGAUAUUGCAUCGAGGGAGAUGGGUAUGAGACCGAUAGCAGUCUUGAAAGAACACACCUAUAUGAGUUCUGACUGUAAACGUCGCAGUCUAUGA
rnacentral:rRNA from 1 species